CGCUUUUAUUUUGAAGCGGAAGCGCGCCUCCUGCUGUUCAGUGACGGAACACACACUUCCGCUCAACGCUGAACACAUUCCGAGCUAAAUAUAGCUAAUAUAGCUGGAGCUGAAGUAACUUUAGUUCUCUGUUUGCUGAACUGUUGUGUAAAAGCAGCCAGCGGUCGUGUAUCUGAACCGAAUCGUGUGUCAGUCUGAAUGUCACUGAAUCACUCGUGUUCGGUCAGAUUUCUGUUCAUUCGUUGAAAAACAAUUCCUGUCUGCCUUCAAUAUUCAGUGUAAUCCAAUCAUAUUCUACUUAACCAAAUUUGUUCUGCAUAAAUGUAAAUAUGGGGAAACACGGACAGAAAAGUUCAGUAAUGGACAGAAGUUCAGUAAUGCCUAAAAAGCUUAAAAAACAGGUGGAGACAAAUCCCUGUCAGUGAGCGAGUCAUUUGAAUCAUUGACUCAACUGAUUCGUUUAAACGGGAACGAAGCACCUGCGCGAAAACGGACUAACUGUAAGUUAUAUGAGCGCAAAACGCACUUCUCCUUCUUCUUCUUUUAACUGAAGAUUGUGUAAAAGCAAUAUCACACUGGCAGUCACGAAUGUAAUGAAUCGUGUAAGUGAAUCAACUCCGCUGCUUUACUGAAUUCUGUGCUGGAGCAUUCAACAAGAUAAAGAGAGAUACUGAACUGAAAUUCAUUGCAACUGUGAUGCAUUCAUUAUAUUCAUAACAGUACAGCACAUAGACAGAAACAUUCACCAUGAACGUACACACGAGAACAUACAAACCAGUAACAUUGCUUUUAACAAACACUUCAGGUGACCUUUGACCCCUGAUGCCUAUAUUUUAUAGCAAACACAAUCUGUUGACUGUGUUCUUUAGGCUAGUGUGUCGCUAUGAAUCGAUCACAGAUCUGAUGAUUUCAUCAUAACAGUGUGUUAUAACUCUGUUUUAACCCUCUGGUCAUUCAGUCACACUGAAAGGUAAAUGCUCUUUUUUCAUUUUUUAAAUCUUCUAUUUUUAUCACAGCGGUAUGAAACCUUUGUGGCACUUGCUCUAUGAACACAAACACGCAUACAUUUUAAUCUCAACGCCAACAAAAUUCUUGCAGUUCGGUCAUGAAGUCUGCUAAUCUAAAUGCAAAACCUGUUCAAACACACAAUAGCUACUAUGAUUCGCUUUAUUUAUAAAUAAUGGCGUUUUGUAAUAUUUGUGCUGCUUUAAUUAUUUGUUAGACGUAAGUGCCGCACUAUCCCCUUAAAAUACAACAUACUAAUGGAAUAAAAUCUUUAUUAGUUUGAUGUGGUUGAGAGAAUGAGAGACAAGUCGGUGUGAUUUACAUCCUUUCACUUGUGUUACAGAUCUCGAGGCGUCUUCCUAACGUUGUGGUUUAAUUGUAAAAUGUCAUUGCAUCCAGGAUUACGACCCAAAGAAGUGAACACACAAUGAUUCAUCAGCAGCGGCGUGACGCUAAAGAUCAAGUUAAACGCCGUACAUUUGCUGAACGUGACAAAUACAAAAAAAAGCAAACAAUAUGGCCGCUAAUAA